AGCAAUGGCCGUUGAUGUCCUAGCAAUCAAACUCUACCAAAUUGGUUCCACGGAACCACCAGAUCACUCUCGCAUCAAAUCCAUGAGCUAUCUUCCCCAAAUACUCCCCAACCGUCUUCAAUCGUAAAUCAAAGCUCAAAGUCUCUAAGAUUCAAGACCAAACCUGAACAUGCAAAGCGACUGCUCCAGUUUUCUCGAGGUUUUUAAAGUCGACUUCGUCGCGAAUUAGUAUUGCUCGCUUGUUCUUGACAAAGAAUAAGAGGUUGAUACUGUUUGGUGUAGAAGUCAAGAAGCCGGGUUCGAAGUCAAGUCCGGUGAGGUGAGUCUUUUCUCUGGUUGAUGCUUUCUGAAUAUUUGGGUUUCUGCUUUCCUUUCUUCUUCUUUUGAACAAUUCAGUCGAAAUUCAAGUUGAGUAUUAGCCAUAGUAGUUAGCUGUUGUUUAAUCAUUCUUUAAAUCUAUUUUUGUUAUAGUUAAUCUUAUCAGGACUUGGUCCAAAUAUUUUCAUGUGAAUAAUUGAGUUAGUUUAUUCGACUUUGAUUAUUUGAUUGGGCUGUUUGAUUUGAAUAGUUGGUUCAGAUUGUUUUUGGGGGAAACUUUUGAGCCAGCUCUAUUUUAGGAUCACUCAGUGCCCAAUUGGGCUUUUAGUUCAAGAGCCCGAUUGGUUUGGUCAAUUGACCUAGGCUAGGUUAAGGGUAGUUUUAGGGUAAUUUCAGGGUCAUUAAAGGGUAAUCUAGGUAGUUCAAUACAGUGAAUCUUUGUGUAACUAAAAGAAGAAGCUUCUAGCAAGGGCUACUAGCCAAUUUCAGGCUUUUAAAUGGCUAAGCUUUGGCAUCAAGUUAGUAGUUGGAGGAUUAAGUAGAAAAAGGGAAGUGUAAUGGGGACUAACUCGAAAUAAUUGAACCCUAAAGGGGCGGCCCUCACUCUUACCUAUAAAAGGCAUGCCUCAUGCCUUGAACAAUAAGUUUGAAGCCCUACAAUCCCCCCCCCCCCCCAAAAAAAAANNNNNNNNNNNNNNNNNNNNNNNNNNNNNNNNNNNNNNNNNNNNNNNNNNNNNNNNNNNNNNNNNNNNNNNNNNNNNNNNNNNNNNNNNNNNNCCCACCCCCCCCCAAUAAAACAAUUAAUCUAUAGUUUCAUAUCCAAAUCUGAUUUUCAGAUCUGAAAUUUUGAACUCUUCUUUCCAUCCUAGAAAAAUCAAAUAAUAAAAUAAAAUACAAAGCUACAGAGAAAAACAAAAAAAUCAUUGUGCUAUUGAAUUAUUAGGUAUAUUUCGAGUUUAAUAAUGGCAAUGCAUCUUCUAGCUUAGGUUUUAUCCACUGGCUGGUUUCUAGAGACUCCUGGGGUAGCUUUCGAGUGGUCUUGAUUGUAACAAGCUGAUUUGGGAUAAUUUUCAUUGGUGUUGUUCUGUUUCUAUCCAUUGUUUGUCAUAAUUGGUGCUGGUGUUGGUUUUGAAAUCUUCCUGGAUUGCCGAUCCUAUUUCUGGAGCAUUUCGAGUCCAUUUGAGUGCAUUUCAAAUGAUUGUAGUUGAUUGCUUGGGUCUGCCUGGUUUCAAACUUUUCUGGGCUGUUGAACUAACUUUCUUGGCUACCGUUUGAGUUCUGCUUGUUCCUGCUACUGAUUUCAGCUUCUCCUUCUUAUUUGUGAUUUCCAAGUACCAUACUGAGCCCAAAUUGAUGUAGUUUCACCUCUGAAAGUAUGAAAUAAAAUUGUUGCAAAGUUUCCUGUUGAGCAUCUGCACCUUAGUUAAUUUUAGUCAUGUUUCGAAUUAGUGGUUCAUUGUAUUCAAAUUGGCAUUGUUGUUGAAUUGUUUGGAUUGUUUUGACUCAAGGAUUGUUUGGGUUUGGACUAUGCUUAUUCAUAAGUCAUAAUAAUUUGUACAG
rnacentral:lncRNA from 1 species